AAAAAAAAAAAAAAGCUCAAACAUCUGAUCAGGCCUUCACCAGGUUACCUUCCCAGCCCUCCACAGAUCAUGCUUUUUCCAUUUUUUUCUUUGUUCCCAUUUCAAUAGUGUUUAUUCAUUUGAAGUCUUCUAUUUGCUAGAUCCUGUCAUUUAUAUUUUGAUGUUUAUUUUAUAUGUUAUCACUUGUCUUCACAGUAUAAGAAAAUAUUAUGAUGACUAUUUUACAGAUAAACUAAAGCUCAAACAAGUCAUAUAACUGAUAAAUUAUGGUGCCAAGAUUUGAACCCAGGCUUCUCUUAUUCCAUAACUUCUUACCAUUAUAUAUCCACUGCACACUUGAGAGAUUCCAUAUGUAUUUUCUAUUCUGUAAAUUUCAGUAGGUUUCUUGGCUGGUAUCUUGUGGUUUCAUCCUCAUUUGACAGCCUGGCCUCUAGGGAAGGCCAUGCCUGCAGCCCUGGCUGGGAGUGGGCUAGUGUCAGACUUACAUACUCUCCCCAAAUAGGUCAUAUACUGUAGAUGUCAGUUCAAAUUGAGAAGAAGGUAAUGGACACAAGUUUGCUGUCAAUCACAUCCUAUUACUUAUUUGUCCUCUCAUUCUCCAUCUGCUGGGAAUUCAGUCCAACAGAAAUUUGAGACCAAGCGGUUUUUCAGGCACAAGGCAAAGCCCGCCAACAUCAAAAUUGGAUAGCCAUUGCCUGGAACUUUUCCAGCUUGGUGGUUCUCUUUCGCUGCUAUCUUCAGGCUAGAAAUUAUUUCUCACUUCUAAAGGUCUUUUUUAAAAGAAAAAAAAAAUGGAGCACAGGCUGUUGAAUAGUCUUUGGAGAAUGUUUAUUAUGUGCUAGGGGAAGGGUGUGUGUGUGUUUGAAACCUCAUCAGCAAUUUUGGACUAACUCUGUGCACUGGGAUAGCAUUCCUUCCUGAUGUGGCCUAGAGUCUUACAACCUGUGUCAUGCAAGGCCAGGCCUCUAUAGGCCUUUUUGCUCAGCUUUUCUUUAGUAUGACCUGUAUCCCCCUGAACUACCAAGAUUGUUAAGGGUAGCAGCGGGCACUGGGCAUUCUCUAACUUCUGGAUGAUGCAUUGCCAAUUACACUCAGGACAGUGGGGUCAUUAUGGGAAACCUGCUCUUGUAUUGAAUAAAGAAAUUAAGUUUACUUUUCAUUCAUGCCAGAGGCCAAAUAAAGAUGUGUAAGACUCUAGCUUCUGGUUUAUGGUUAGAACUAUCUGGGGAUAAGCAGAACCACCAAAUUCCUGUUUUCACCAAAAAGAUACGUUCAUCAUAAAAUUAGUAACCAUUUAUUGACUGUUCUUAAUGUGCCAGGCAUUGGACAAUCAUCUCAUUUCAUCCUCACAUCAGCCCUAUGAGGUGGAUAAUGUUACCCCUAUUUUACAAAUAAGAAAACUGAGGCUCAAAGAAAUUAAGUAAUGUAUAUAAGUUUACAUAGCUAACUAGUGGUCAGUGUGGGGCCAAUUCAGGUCUCUCUGACCUCAAAGCCUAUGUCAGGCCUUUCUCCUCCCGAGACGUCAGGGGAGGGGUUUAAGUCCCCUUCCUCCCCAGUUUAUUCUCCCCUCACCUGAGGCAGAGUGUUUCAAGGCAAAGGAGAGGGCAUGAGAUCUUUGAAACUGAGGUCAUUUGUGUCUUCCACUUAAAUCCAGAAGCUGUUUCUUUGUGGGAAGAAUCCUUUAUGCACAUAAGAUCUUUGGGGCAGUUUGAAACGGGUAGAUAUUUCCUGGACUGUGAAGACAGUCUUGAGUCCAGGAACUCUCCAAGUAGCUGUGUGGUCAUUGGGAUGAUGUUUUCAUCACUUGUAUGUUACUUUUAGGAACUCAAAGCUUUUAUUCCCACGGCAUUUUCAGAAGGUGAGUUAAUCAAGUUCCAUCUUAUAGAGAGAAGGGCUGAAAUUCAGAGAGGUUAGGUGAUUGCCUGAAAUCCCACAGUAAGAGUGGGACUCCCGGUUCAGUUCUCUAUCUGUCAGGCCUUUUGCCAGGACCCAGGUUCCUGUGCACUGAGCAUCAUAGGUGGGGGUGUAAGGACUCCUUAGAGAGCAUGUGGCUGGUAGGUGACUUACUGUCUUUAGAGCUGUGUUGAACUGAGGUUGGUGGACAUGGUUCCAGGAAGCUCACAAGCCCAGCAACUGGUGAAAGAAAAUGGGCUGUGCUAGGGUAUAGACAGUUACUUGAUGGAUUAGGGAGGGAUGUCCCCCAGGAAGGGGCUUUUGAAAUUGCCAGGAAGCCAGAAACUGAGGCUGCAAAUUAUGGUAAAGCCUAUCACCUGUAGGCACAAGGGCUCUGGAAAAUUGCCUCUAAGUACUACCCUUGCCGUGUUCCAGGCCACUGUUGAGUGUGAGACUCAAAUGGGACAUGUUCCUAAAGUCUGUAGCUACAGAAAGCAAAGUCCCAGACCAGGAGAGUAUCCCUAGUGCUCUGAAGUUCCAAAUGGGCUGGGACCCAGACCUGAGCAUAGAAUGUUUCUUUUGAAAACUUAAGAGAAGUGCUAUGGGCAGGAGAUGGCAGGGGCUGGCCAAGGAAGGAGAAAGUGACUCUUGGCAGUGUCUGGACAACAGGAGAGCUAGGAUCAUGCACUAAAACCAGCCAGGCCUCUGGUUUCUUUCCAGGGAGUUAAUAGUUCAGGGGCCUUCUCUGUGUUCACCUCCCUGCAAGAAACUGAACUAUGCUCUUCCGUCAAAAACCAACUUAACUGGGAAAGGAGAAGUCCCCGUUCUGAGCAAUAUCUUAGCACUUCCACUUGCCCUGGCAAAAGGAGAGAAAGCCCGGGUGAUCAAGGCAGCCUUACCUGAGACUCUAAGGAUGUAACAUCUUUUGAUGUGCUCUUCCUUCUUCUCACAAAUUGGCUUUAGCAUGGUCUUUGUCUUUUGGCACCCCUUAGGAAAGGCUGAGCCCAGAUUACUUGGUCAUAACCAUUGCUGAGGCGGCCCAGAGUUCAGAGUUUGGAAAAGCAUGUAUUAUUUUGUUCUGCCUUGUUCCUGAGGGCUCAUUCCAUCUAGCCUUUUUCUGGGCAUGAGCCAUUCAUUUCUGAGCCAAGACCUUGGCUGUAGAUACUCCAGCCAUGAGCGUGGCCCACGUGCGUGAAAGGACCAGAUAACUUCAUGGGUGAUUGGCCUUACUGGGUGCUGGUCCUCCUGCUGACAGAGCUGACAAAUAGAAUUAGAAGCAGAGGAGCCAGCCUGUACUGGGAUCUGUGGGACAUGGUUUGACACAGUGACCUUGAGAAGUGGGGUGUCUGGAGAGAAGGAGCCUAAAGCUGGACCAGACCUUUGACCUAGCUGUCCCCCAGCCUCCCCCCACCCCGACCCCCGUCAAACUCAGGGACACAAACCUGUGCUCUUCAUCCCUACUCCCUUCUUAGGAAUUCUUGGCAGGCAGAAGUUUUUGCCCCCAGGUGAAGUCUGCGUGGCCCAAGACUGAAUUGAUGAAGCAACAGCCCAGAGGGACCUAUGUACCCCUCAGGAGUCCAUCCUCAGUCCCUCUGGAGAGUCUUGACUCUAGCUUAUUCCCUUCACCCCUAUUUUCUGUCAGAGCUAAGCCUUUUUAUCACACUCCCUCCUCCCAAGACUCCCUACUGAACUGAGAGCUCUCUGUGACAUCAUAGACUUCCAUGCCAGGUCAGGUCAAGCUGCAAAACAGCUGUCACCCAGAUUACCAGAAAGAGUGAUUAUUCCCUCUCCUGGUCUCUCCUUUCUGCCCAACCUACUUCUUGUAACUUGAUGGAGUAGAUCUACAUUUUCUGAUGUAAGCAGUCAUUGCAUAACGAAAAUAUAAUUAUCUUCAAGCUGGUAAGAUAGUACUACAUUCUCUAAAUACUAGUCUCGUCUUGCUAAUAAUUCAUAAGAUAUAUCCAAAAUAGUUUUUAUUGCAGGGGGCUGGGCUAGAUCACUUCUGAAUAUUCAGGAUGUAACUAAUUGUCCUUGCUUUUGAUUCAUGAGCUGAAGUCAUCAGCACUGGCUUUGGUCGUCCUUUCUUUCGGGAACCCUAGAGAUCCAAAAGCAGAGGCGUGGGGUGGGGGGUCCUCAUCAGAACAAAAGAGGAUGAGAGAAGCUCUAGCUUAGUCUAGAAAGUGUACCCUGCACUCCAAGGCGAGAUGCCCAAAAGUUCCAUCCAGGCAAUGGAUGGGAAGACAGAGUUGGCAUUGAGCGAUGAAAACAAGUGGCAGAUGGUGCUGAGGAACAUCCCAGGACUGAAGAAAAAAUGGUUCCCAGAAAGGGAAAAGUAAGGAGACAUUGGCAAAGCCUUACUCAGCACCCGUGACAGCCUAGCCAGAGAAAGCUGGUAGAUAAGGCUAAGAACGUAUCUAUGGUAUCAGCCCCCCAUGGGGGUCUCAGAAACUCACUGUUCUGUCACCUCUUCUCCUGCUCCUUUACCAUACCCAGAGUAAACAGCCUUGGUGACCAGGCUGGACUGGUCAGGAAAGACAGGGAAUGUAAGAGAUCAGAAAGUAGUCAGAAACUGAGGAAUCACUCCCUGUAGCCAGGCUUCUUUCAGGGAGAUAAGCAGUGAGCAAGGUCUCCUAGAGGGAUUGUCCCAGACUGCAUCCAGCCCAGGAGGGCAACAGGUGGAGCAUGGGGGCCAAAUGACCUGAGGUUCACAUGGCCUAAGACCCGCCUGGCCCUUGACUUCCCAGGUGCUAGAGGUAGUACGAGCCAACUAUGACACGCUCACAUUGAAGCUGCAGGAUGGCCUGGACCAGUAUGAGCGCUACUCCGAGCAGCACAAGGAAGCUGCCUUCUUCAAAGAGCUGGUUCGAUCCAUUAGCACCAACGUCCGGAGGAACCUGGCCUUCCACACACUCAGCCAGGAAGUCCUGCUCAAGGAGUUCUCCACUAUCUCCUGAGGCCGCAGAUGCUGGAACAGCCACUGACUACCCUUACCCAUGAGGCUCCUGGGCUGGAGGGGGGCGAGGGGAGAGGUUGAGAAAAACACAGAUACCGAGUUCUCUUGGUAAAGGCCGCACUUCAGUGGAGCUUGGACAGCAGGGGCCAGGAUGGGCAAGCCAAGAAUAAUCUUAUUCGGGGAGGGGAUGGGUGGGCACAGGGAGAUACUUUCAGAAAUGUGGGGACUUCCACGGUGGGAUCCCUGGGCAACCCCUCACAUUUCCAAAUGAGAUGACAAGUUGUGGCUACCGGCUAAUUUCCAGGAGCUUUGGGGGUAAGCCUUAGAGUGAUGCCCAUACCCGGGGGAUCAGUGGCUCUCCUAGGCUUCUGAAAACAGACUCUCAGAUGUAGGUGAAGCCAAUUCUGCUUCCUUUGAUUCUGGAGGGAGCUGGGCUUGAAAUCUGUGUCUCCUGCCCCCGCUGGCACUUCAUCCAGUCAUUAGGACCCUUUGCUUAGGCUUAGGGUGGGGUAAGAAUGGGAUACCUUUUUUCUGUUUUCUAAUUCUAGAGCCUACUCCUCUGGGAUACUGGAGAUUAGAAUCUGCCCAUUGGUCUACAGUCUGGCCACCACUUUCUGGAUUUGAUUCUUGGCACCAGGAAUACCUGUUAGCUUUCCCCUGCCUUCCAGCCCAUUGACUCAUCUUCACUACAGGGUGACAACCUUAGCUUUUCAUUUUCAAUCUGGUUUAAAUUGUCUUUAGGGUGUGUGUGUGAAAUAAACAUUGACAGGUUUUCUGGAGCCCUCAGGUGCCUACUUUGCUGGUUUCCUUUCCAGCAGCUCCUCCACCUCCUUAGCCACCCCCUCCUCUGGGAGCCUCUUCUGCCUCUGCUGAGCUCCCCUCCACGUGUUCCACCCCCUCACCCGGCUGUUGUUUACAUCCAGCCUGCCUGAGAAUUUCCUCUGGGAGGAAUCUGUUCCUGCUGUGGUCUGGUGCCUGGAAGGGAGAGAACUUGCUGAGGCCAGGCUUUGAAACAGGCCAGAUAUGCAUCGGGUACGAGAGGCCAUGCUGUCUCCCCAUAUUCUGAGUGGAGCCAUAAGCAAGUCUCCUGACCUUUGGGAAGUUGGCCUGUAAUUCCUCUCCUGGACCACCCCCUCGGAACUGCCACUGUCGGCCUUCUCUGCCCCCCGGCUACCUUCCCAGAGUAGCUGCUGCUCUGAGAUCCUCCUUUCUAAAGCACUUUCUAAAGCCCUCAGCAUGGCAGGGAGCUAACAGCACAAAAAGAAUCUGGGAGUAAGUGUACGAAUCCAGUGGUAAAAGCAGGUCUAGGACCUCCCAGGCUGCUAUUCCACUUGGCUUCAUAUCUUUUUGGGAUUUGGGU
rnacentral:lncRNA from 1 species